GCCCCCGUUGUCUAAUGGCUAUGACGUCAGACUUCUAACGUGGGGGAUCACGUACCAAUCUGGAGGUUGCGGGUUCGAGUCCCGCCGGGGGUA